GUAAAAACAAAGGGAACUUUCCUUCUCAUGGGUUACAUUAGGGUUUUCAACCCUAAAGAAAAAAGGCAAAACAGUGAAACAAUUCAUCUUUUUCAUAUGCAUCUUUUCUGCUAACCUUGGAGGGCACCGCCAAAGAAACCCUAGGUCACCUUGGAUACAGUCUACUCUACGUCCUUGGAGAUUUGCUGAAAUUGAAUCACAAGGAAUGCUAAAGAUUUUUCUGCAGGGAAUUGCAAGGCACAAUGAUCUUGAUGACCUGCAAUCUUGUGGCUCUUCUAUUAUGAAAGGUUUAUGACUAUUCAUGAUUAGAUGUGUCAUUUACGCAUACAAAGCAUUCUAUCGAAUCUUCCCUGCUUGAAUGGUUUUCACUCUGACGAUCUAACAGGCCCAGAAGACUCCUUCCCUGUGUCCUUUGAUCAUCGAUAUUUUCUGAAUUGUUUACUGUUAUUGAUGCUAUGAGGAGCUGUACAUUGACACUGCAAAUUGUUCUUUUUACUUGUAAAGACUUCCACCCAUCAUUGAUAUUGACUCUUGAAAUAGUCACAUUCAAACCUGUUUUCACUAGAGCCAUGAAUUCUAGUAGUCACAAGGCUGUGCAUGAACUUGCUUGUGAUAUCAAAUUGCAAUCACUAUGUCUUUAUUUUCUGAGAUUACUGCUACAUAUUUGUUCUUUGCAUUGGAUUUCUCAUGUUCUUGCCACAAAAGCUUAUUCACGACUUUACUUGGCCUAUAUUGUUCUAUCAAUGACCUUUUGACUGUAAUUAUCUGGUUUAGUAUUGCCGGGUACUAUGUAAUGGCUGUCUUUGGGACUGUAUUCCUAUUCAUUUCUUUGUGACUGUCUUUUAGCUUAUUUGCUGCUACGUGCUACUAUUUGAGCUAUGUUCUACUAUAUGGCUUACUGUCCAUAUGUCGAUUUAGGAGCUUGUAACAUGGUGACUAUAGUUUGAUGCACUUUGGAGCUGCUACAGUGAUCAAGACUUAAACACUACCCUUUUGAUAGUCUCAAAGUUUCUCCUUGAAUAGCAAGUAACUCUUAUAUGAAUACCUCAUGAUUACUAUC